UACGUAGGGUGCGAGCGUUGUCCGGAAUUAUUGGGCGUAAAGAGCUCGUAGGCGGUGUGUCACGUCGGCCGUGAAAACCUGCAGCUUAACUGUGGGCGUGCGGUCGAUACGGGCAUCACUGGAGUUCGGCAGGGGAGACUGGAAUUCCUGGUGUAGCGGUGAAAUGCGCAGAUAUCAAGAGGAACACCUGAGGUGAAGACGGGUUGCUGGGCCAACACUGACGCUGAUGCGCGAAAGCCAGGGGAGCAAACGGG
rnacentral:rRNA from 1 species